rnacentral:lncRNA from 1 species
UUUUUUUUAAUAAACUACUUCUUUUAUUUCAUAUGUAACCGAAACCAUGCCCAACGGACUUACAAACAACUUAUAAACUACUAAAAGACUUACCAGAAAAAUGAUGGACAACCUAACUGGUACUGACCCUGCUAAAAAAGAGAAAACCAGGUGCUAAGAGGGGUUAAUGAUGAAGCUAAGGACGAAUUCAAGCGAGUUGAUCUUGAAAGGGGAUCAAGUCUAUGUCUGAUAGUGUCUUUGAUUUCGGUAAUGAGAGUGUCUGAUGUUCUCUGGACAGAGGAAUGAAGUCGAGCGUUACGUUCUCUCCAGAUAGCGUACAUUGACGCUUGAUAGAGGAGUCGAAAUAUCAGAGUGACGUGAGGGUCUGAAGAGGGUUUGGCCAUCCACAUCACGAUCGCGUCAAAGGUAUUAGGGGCCUGGAGGUUCGCUCGAGUAAGAAAAUGGUUCCAUAGAGUGGAGCUAUACAUGUAGUUGAAGAACAGAUGCUCCCGAGAUUCUUCAUGGGUAGAGCAAAGCACACACGAUGCAGGAACGUCAA